rnacentral:rRNA from 1 species
CCAGCUCCAAUAGCGUAUAUUAAAGUUGUUGCAGUUAAAAAGCUCGUAGUUGAAUUUCGGGACAAGUUGCUGGAGCAGCCUAACUGGUUGCAUCUAGUACACUCAUCCCUACCUUCUGGCGAACUAGGGUGCUCUUUAUUGAGUGCUUUAGGGAACCAGGACCUUUACUUUGAGAAAAUUAGAGUGUUUAAGGCAGGCUUACGCUUGAAUACAUUAGCAUGGAAUAAUGGAAUAGGACUUUGGUUCGAUUUUGUUGGUUUCUAGGACCAAGGUAAUGAUUAAUAGGGACAGUUGGGGGUAUUAGUAUUGAGUUGUCAGAGGUGAAAUUCUUGGAUUUACUCAAGGCUAACUACUGCGAAAGCAUUUACCAAGGAUGUUUUCAUUAAUCAAGAACGAAAGUUAGGGGAUCGAAGACGAUUAGAUACCGUCGUAGUCUUAACCAUAAACUAUGCCGACUAGGGAUCAGUAGAGUAAAUUUUUUAGCUCUAUUGGCACCUUAUGAGAAAUCAAAGUUUUUGGGUUCCGGGGGGAGUAUGGUCGCAAGGCUGAAACUUAAAGGAAUUGACGGAAGGGCACCACCAGGAGUGGAGCCUGCGGCUUAAUUCGACUCAAC